GAGAGACUCAUUUCUGUUUGUCUUGUAUUGUUGGAGUUUCCAUGUGCACUCUAUUUCUCAGGUUUGACACGUGGCGGUAGCCCAGUUCAGCCCUCUUUGUUUUGAUGAGAACUUAUACGAGUCACUGUCUCAUUUGUGAUUGAAGACUGAAGAAAGAGGUACGACAGAAUGCAAUUAAGAAUAACAGGAGUUUUCCACUAAUGUAGUAAAGUGCACCAGUGCUUCAAUUCAGAAUUUCUACCGAGAGCUGGUGGAAUUGAUGGAGGAUGGCAGCUUUGACAGAGUAUCAUAAGAAACAUAAGUUAGUAAUAUUAUUCAUUAAGACUCCGGAAGGAUGAGGUCUUUAUGGACCAUCGACCUAACCAGUUGUAGCUGUCAGAGGUCAAACAAGGAGUUGAAACAUAUCAAUUGGUAGACCAUUGUUAAAAGAAAGAGAUGCUGUAUUUGUGGUGUUGCUGAAUCAAAAGUGUGUUCAAGUCUUAUGGUGGAAUCAAAAGAGGCAUCCAGCUUCAGAGCUAGGCAGUCCCAAUUCAUGGCACUGUGCACCAAGCAUUUAAACUAGAUUUUGACUUGUUCACUCCCUUGAAGGUGACUGCAAUUAGCCUACGGUUCCUCUGUGUUGUGGCCACUGUUGCUGCCAUCGGAACCAGGGGAGUUCUCGAAGCUCAUUUUUGGGACCUGAGUUUAUUGACUAUGAAGAGUCUCCCUCCUCCAUCCCUGAAUUCAUCUGUUGUGAUACAGAUGUGGACAAUAUUGCAUGGAUUAAGAGUGGCCUUGAGCAUUGUGAGACGACGAGUAGCAGAGAAUGUAGCAAGCCAGAGAUUCUCACAAGGGACGGCUACUACUUCGCAAAUGGGGUAUUAUGAACUGAAUAUGAUGAAUGGGCAUAAGCGCCUUGUGGAGGGACAGAACAGGCUAAUUGGUAUGAUGACAGAAAUGCUUUCAACCCAGAAGCGUGGACAAACUUUUGCAAUGCCAACUGAAGUUAAAGGACUGAGCUAGAAGUCAUCGCUGGUUUUCCUUUUUCUGGGAGGAGAAAUAUACAGGUUUAUUUUCACAAGCGUAUUAUGAAUAGAAAAUUCAGAGACUUCUUUGGGCUACAACAAUAUAUGAAUGAGGACCACCCUCUUUGCUUAAUAUA